UAUAUACUCCCUCCGUUCCAAAAUACAUGACUCAACUUUGUACUAACUUAAGUUAGUACAAAGUUGAGUCAUGUAUUUUGGAACGGAGGGAGUAUACU
rfam:Triticum aestivum genome assembly, contig: Triticum_aestivum_CS42_TGACv1_scaffold_405507_5BL